rnacentral:rRNA from 1 species
AACGAACGCUGGCGGCAUGCCUAACACAUGCAAGUCGAACGAGACCUUCGGGUCUAGUGGCGCACGGGUGCGUAACGCGUGGGAACCUGCCCUUAGGUUCGGAAUAACUCCCCGAAAGGGGUGCUAAUACCGGAUAAUGUCUUCGGACCAAAGAUUUAUCGCCUUUGGAUGGGCCGGCGUUGGAUUAGCUAGUUGGUAUGGUAAAAGCCUACCACGGCGACGAUCCAUAGCUGGUCUGAGAGGAUGAUCAGCCACACUGGGACUGAGACACGGCCCAGACUCCUACGGGAGGCAGCAGUGGGGAAUAUUGGAAAAUGGGGGAAAGCCUGAUCCAGCAAUGCCGCGUGAGUGAUGAAGGCCUUAGGGUUGUAAAGCUCUUUUACCCGGGAUGAUAAUGACAGUACCGGGAGAAUAAGCUCCGGCUAACUCCGUG